UAAGGAAAUUUCCGCAAUGGACGAAAGUCUGACUAUGCGACGCCGCGUGCAGGAUGAAGGUCUUCGGAUUGUAAACUGCUUUUGUCAGGGGAGAAACCUGAAACGUUAACACCGUUUCAGCUGACGGUACCUGACGAAUAAGCCACGGCCAACUCUGUGCCAGCAGCCGCGGUAAUA
rnacentral:rRNA from 1 species